rnacentral:rRNA from 1 species
UACGUAGGGUGCGAGCGUUAAUCGGAAUUACUGGGCGUAAAGUGUGCGCAGGCGGCCGAGCAAGUCGAGUGUGAAAGCCCCGAGCUUAACUUGGGAAUUGCGCUCGAAACUACUUGGCUGGAGUGUGGCAGAGGAAGGUGGAAUUCCAGGUGUAGCGGUGAAAUGCGUAGAGAUCUGGAGGAACACCGAUGGCGAAGGCAGCCUUCGUGGGCCAACACGUGACGCUCAUGCACGAAAGCGUGGGGAGCAAACAGG